AUCGACACUAAGUCUGAUGGCUCGUUGAGUUCACCAGCUUGUGUUUCCUGCAGCAAGAACUUCUCUGAGGCAUGCACACGGUGAGUAACGACUUCACCUGACCAGGACACCAAGAAGACGUGACAGCAUGCUGGUUGAGUACGAUGGUGCUGCAGCGGGCUUAUUCCAGACUCACAACAUCCCCGCAACGACUCACAACAUCCCCGCAGCGACUCACAACAUCACGGCAACGACUCACAACAUCACCGCAGCGCUGGAAUCACAAAUCGUGACAACGACUCAGAACAUCCUCAACACUGGAAGCAGAUCAUUCUUUGACCCCAGGGUGUUAGCCGCAGUCUGGUAUGAACACAAGGUGACGGACGCCUGGCUGGUACCUGUCAUUGUUAUCCUGGGUGGGAUUGUGCUCAUUGUGUCCGUGGUCAUGAUGUUCGUGAUGCGGUGGGUGGCUGACCGGGUCUGCAUGUACUGUCACAAAGUAUGUGGAUGUUGUGGGCCCUCUUCUCACGGGAUGGACAAUGAGCAGACCCACCUGACCGGCGCUCGGCAUGAUAACAUUGACGUCAAGUGACAGAAGUUGAAGGAGACCGCGGAGUCCUGUGGGAUCCAAUAGACGACCGAGAAUCUGUGCAUCACUUUCCAGUGCUCAGUACUGUCACUAAUACGUGCAAUUCAGGGAUUAUGUCCUUACCUAGAAAUACCUUGUUUUGUAACAAAACUGUCAGCAGUUCAGUAGCGUGCGGUCAGCAGACAUUUCCUACAACCUGUACAAGAGGGACUGUGACGGCGCCCUGAAGUCAAGGGGUAAUAGAUUC